ACAGUUCAAGAGCUUCAUGAUCUAACGAGGUAAUUUGCCCCCUCUGCGUUAUGCAUCCUUAAAACCCAAAUAGAGGGCUCUAGAGUAGAGAGUAUGGCUGUUUCUUUAGGAUAUAAUAAGAGUUUUGCUGUGAGUAGCUCGGGGAGAAGUGGUGGCUUAGGCAUUUUUUGGAACGAUGAAAUAAAGCUUGAAGUUGUUGGUUACUCUCGCUAUCAUAUUGAUGCUAUGAUUGAUGAACUUGUAGAUGCCAGAAUGAGAGUGACCUUUGUCUACGGAGAAGCUCAAGUAAAUGAACGAUACAAAACAUGGGAUAUGAUCCAAGGAAUAGUAGGUGCAAAUGAUAUACCUUGA
rnacentral:rRNA from 1 species